AGCAGCCGCGGUAAUUCCAGCUCCAAUAGCGUAUAUUAAAGUUGUUGCAGUUAAAAGCUCGUAGUUGAAUUUCGGGGUUAGUAGGUUGGUCAUGCCUCUGGUAUGUACUGGUCUCACUGAUUCCUCCUUCCUGAUGAACCUUAAUGCCAUUAAUUUGGUGUUUUGGGGAAUUUGGACUGUUACUUUGAAAAAUUAGAGUGUUUAAAGCAAGCUAACGCUUGAAUACAUUAGCAUGGAAUAAUGAAAUAGGACGUUCGAUCCUAUUUUGUUGGUUUCUAGGAUUGACGUAAUGAUUAAUAGGGAUAGUUGGGGGCAUUAGUAUUCAAUUGUCAGAGGUGAAAUUCUUGGAUUUAUUGAAGACUAACUACUGCGAAAGCAUUUGCCAAGGAUGUUUUCAUUAAUCAAGAACGAAAGUUAGGGGAUCGAAGACGAUCAGAUACCGUCGUAGUCUUAACCAUAAACUAUGCCGACUAGGGAUCGGAUGAUGUAAUUUUUAAUGACUCAUUCGCGCCUUACGGGA
rnacentral:rRNA from 1 species